rnacentral:rRNA from 1 species
AGGGCCAUCGCUCAACGGAUAAAAGCUACCCCGGGGUUAACAGGCUUAUCUCCCCCAAGAGUCCACAUCGACGGGGAGGUUUGGCACCUCGAUGUCGGCUCAUCGCAUCCUGGGGCUGUAGUCGGUCCCAAGGUUUGGGCUGUUCGCCCAUUAAAGCGGUACGCGAGCUGGGUUCAGAACGUCGUGAGACAGUUCGGUCCCUAUCCGUCGUGGGCGUAGGAAAUUUGAGAGGAGCUGUCCUUAGUACGAGAGGACCGGGAUGGACAUACCUCUGGUGUACCAGUUGUCGUGCCAACGGCAUAGCUGGGUAGCUAUGUAUGGACGGGAUAAGUGCUGAAAGCAUCUAAGCAUGAAGCCCCCCUCAAGAUGAGAUUUCCCAACUUCGGUUAUAAGAUCCCUCAGAGAUGAUGAGGUUAAUAGGUUCGAGGUGGAAGCGUGGUGACACGUGGAGCUGACGAAUACUAAUCGAUCGAAGACUUAAUCAA